rnacentral:rRNA from 1 species
AGCAGCCGCGGUAAUUCCAGCUCCAAUAGCGUAUAUUAAAGUUGUUGCAGUUAAAAAGCUCGUAGUUGAACUUCGGGGUUUACCCAUUGGUCAGGCUUAAUUGUCUGUACUGGUGAGAUAAAUCUCUACCUUCUGAGGAACUUUCAUGUCAUUAACUUGGUGUGAUUGGAAAUCAGGACUGUUACUUUGAAAAAUUAGAGUGUUUAAAGCAGGCUAACGUCUGAAUACAUUAGCAUGGAAUAAUGAAAUAGGACGGACUGAUUCUAUUUCGUUGGUUUCUAGGAUCACCGUAAUGAUUAAUAGGGAUAGUUGGGGGCAUUAGUAUUCAAUUGUCAGAGGUGAAAUUCUUGGAUUUAUUGAAGACUAACUACUGCGAAAGCAUUUGCCAAGGAUGUUUUCAUUAAUCAAGAACGAAAGUUAGGGGAUCGAAGACGAUCAGAUACCGUCGUAGUCUUAACCAUAAACUAUGCCGACUAGGGAUCGGACGAAGUUAAUUUAUAAUGUACGCGUUCGGCACCUU